rnacentral:rRNA from 1 species
UGGGGAAUAUUGGACAAUGGGCGAAAGCCUGAUCCAGCCAUGCCGCGUGUGUGAAGAAGGUCUUCGGAUUGUAAAGCACUUUAAGUUGGGAGGAAGGGCAGUAAGCGAAUACCUUGCUGUUUUGACGUUACCGACAGAAUAAGCACCGGCUAACUCUGUGCCAGCAGCCGCGGUAAUACAGAGGGUGCAAGCGUUAAUCGGAAUUACUGGGCGUAAAGCGCGCGAAGGUGGUUCGUUAAGUUGAAUGUGAAAGCCCCGGGCUCAACCUGGGAACUGCAUCCAAAACUGGCGAGCUAGAGUAGGGCAGAGGGUGGUGGAAUUUCCUGUGUAGCCGUGAAAUGCGUAGAUAUAGGAAGGAACACCAGUGGCGAAGGCGACCACCUGGGCUCAUACUGACACUGAGGUGCGAAAGCGUGUGGAGCAAACAGG